GACGAACGCUGGCGGCGUGCCUAAUACAUGCAAGUAGAACGCAGUUGCGAACGGGUGAGUAACGCGUAGGUAACUGCCUCAUAGCGGGGGAUAACUAUUGGAAACGAUAGCUAAUACCGCAUACUGUGAGAUGGACCUGCGUUGUAUUAGCUAGUUGGUGAGGUAAAGGCUCACCAAGGCGACGAUACAUAGCCGACCUGAGAGGGCGAUCUGCCACACUGGUACUGCGGCACUGCCCAACCUUCUACUGUCUGUAGCAGUAGGGACUCAUCGGCAAUGGUCUGAAGUCUGACCGAGCAACGCGGCGUGAGUGAAGAAGGUUUUCGGAUCGUAAAGCUCUUUUGUUAGAGAAGCGGUAUCUAACCAGAAAGGGACGGCUAACUACGUGCCAGCCGCCGCGGUAAUAC
rnacentral:rRNA from 1 species